UCAGCCGGAAGUGACUGUAGGCGGAAUGGUUGCCAUGGCAGCGGCCGGGGCGCUUGGCUGGGCGCAGGGAAGAUGGCGGUAACCGGUUGGUUGGAGAGUCUCCGGACCGCCGAGAAGACGGCGCUGCUGCAGGACGGGAGAAGGAAGGUGCACUAUUUGUUCCCAGAUGGAAAGGAAAUGGCCGAAGAAUACGAUGAGAAGUCAGGCGAGCUACUUGUGAGAAAGUGGCGUGUGAAAAGUGCCCUGGGAGCCCUGGGCCAGUGGCAGAUUGAGGUGGGAGAGCCAGCACUCCCAGGAGCAGGGAGCCUGGGGCCUGAAUUCAUCAAGGAAAACAAUGCCAAUCCCAUCUUCAUGCGCAAGGACACCAAGAUGAAUUUCCAGUGGCGGAUUCGAAACCUCCCCUACCCUAAGGAUGUCUACAGUGUCUGUGUGGACCACAAAGAGCGCUGCAUCGUUGUCAGAACCACCAACAAAAAGUACUACAAGAAAUUCUCCAUUCCUGACCUAGACAGACACCAGCUACCUCUGGAUGAGUCCUCGCUGAGCUUUGCUCAUGCCAACUGCACGCUGAUCAUCUCUUACCAGAAGCCAAAGGAGAUCCUGGUGGCUGAGGCAGAGCUUCAGAAGGAGCUAAAGAAAGUGAAGACAGCCCACAGCAGUGAUGGGGACUGGACCUCCACCAUUAAAAGCCUUUCACGUAAAGGGAGGCAUGAGUCUUAGAUGGAGCAGAGGUGGGGGAAGCUCAGAGUUGACGCAAACAGGUUGGGGAAGAUGCCCGCUCGGCGCUGCUGGGCUCAGAGGAAGACUGGGCUGGAAGAGACCCUGUGCCACCUUAGCUUGCAGAAGUGGCCCAGAUGAAUUCCCUAAGGGAAAGAUAAAGACAGAUGGGGCCACCCCUGUGAGCCUAAGAAGGAGGGCAGGCCUGGGGCGGACAGCCGGAAGGAGACGUGGCCCUGAGGCCAGGCUGUGUGCAGCAUUCCCUGGGAGCACCCCAAGUGGGCAGAAGGAGCAAGCAGAGGGUGGCCUCAUCCCAGGGACCCUUGAAGGGGGGUGAUCAGAUGUGGAAACCAAGGCCCAGAGUGCCCCCCACCCAUAUCACAGAGCUAAGAAGCGGCAGAGUUAGUUCGAGAACCCAAGUCUGUCUGACCACACAGCCUGUGUGCCCUCCGUAGCUCCUCACAGCCUCCCAUCACACACCAGAGGAGGGGUUCCUUGGCCUCAGCCCCACGCAGAAGCAAGAAGUUUGCAGGUGGCAGGAGUUUGGCAGGGGAGUCACGGAACAACAUUCACAGACUGCAGGCGCUCCAACGUCCCAGAGGCUACAGGACAAAGGAUCCCUUGGAAGUUUUAGCUGAGCUGUGCCGACAACAGUAUGAUGUGACCAUCAGCUACACUAACAAAAGCAAAAGAUCUAGAAUAAGGAGGGGAUAGCGCCUGCCACUCAUCAUCUCACACCCAGCAUGUUCAGUACUCAGUUACGAACAUCCCAUUUCAAGAGGGAUCCAACCAGAUAAAUGCAAGAAACUUUCAGGUGAGAAUGGUCCUAAAACGAGUGUGAGACCCACACAGUAGGGUCACCCUCCCAGCUACUCCUCACUUACUUUCUUGCUGACCCAAAUCUGAUUCCGUGCCCACUGCUCCCAUCCUCCUUGCCACUAUGCACGUGGGGGAAGCUGGGCUCUUCCCCAGACCCAGGUCAAUCUUGACUGGUGAUUCCAUUUCCCUUGCCACGGUUUGGUUCAGGGUGAGUAACGGAAUACACUUUUGGCUCACUCAAUAUGAGGAGUCUGCUUGGGGGCUCCUAUAAAAGGACUCCCCAUCUUAAAAAGAGACCCAGGCAGGGACAAGUCCUCUUCCUUCCUUUCUCCCUCUGGGUAUUUUGCCUUAUGAGCAGGUAGAGCUUUUGUGAACAAGCCUGAGGAUAAGGGCAAAACCCACGUUGACAGAGGGGGCAAAGUGGAAAGCUGAGAAGAUGGGCCCUCAGCCUCUCGCUGAGCUACUGCACCCGUCAAUCCUGGAACCAGCAAAGCUUCCAGCUCCUGGGGACUCCUUGUCACUUACGAUAAUAAUAAUCUCUUUAUUGUUGGAGCCACUUUGAAGUAGGCCCUCAAUACUUCCAGCCAAAAGCACCCUAACUGAUGUACUAUGUGUAUAAGCAACAGAAGGGCCUCAGACUUUCAGCCUGAUAAAGAGAAGACACUGGAGAAACAGGACCAAAGUUUUCAGAUAUUUAAAGCCCUGUCUUCGGAGGCAAGGUUCAACUUGCUUCUUGCCUAGAAUCAUAGCCCCUGGAAGCAGGUGAACUCUCGAUGAAGGACAGGUGUGAUAACUCUCAGGGCUCUCCAAAGAUGCAAUGUGGUGUCUGGGAGAGUUGCGAGUUUCCUAUAUCUGUGGUUGGAUGACCGUUAAGAGAAUGUUGUAGAAAAAACCAUAUUUAACUAAAACAGCUCACGUGUUAAAAAAGAAAAAAUCUUUUGGAAAGACUGACAAUACAUUGGAUUUUUCAGGGGGCAAAAAGAUGGGUACCACUUUCCUGGGGAUACAGAGAGGAAAGGAGACAUGCUAGAGUCACUGAGGCAGGAGACAGACAAGAACAGAACAUCCUCGCUGCUGCUGUAGAUCAUGGUGCUGAACCAGAGCACGGGACCUGGGGCCAGGUGCAGACGGUCUUAGACUUGACCCCACAAGCACAAUUGACAAAAAAAAAAAAUAAUUUGGACGCCAUCAAAAUGUAAAACUUUGGUCUUUUAUCCUGUUAAGAGGAUAAAAAGACAAGCUCCAGACUUAAAGAUAGAGGCAAACCACAUAUCUGACAAAGGAUUCAUUUCUAGAAUAUAUAAAGAACUCCGCAAACUUACCAGUGAAAAAGCAAACUGUUCAAUUAGAAAAUCGCCAAAAGACAUGAGCAGAGAUUCCACCAAAGAGAACAUACAGAAGGCAAAUACACACACGAAAAGAUGUCAUUGGCUCUUACGGAAAUUCAAAUUAAAGCCACAAGAUACCACACCUCUUGGAAUAGCUAAGACAAGAAAGAGCGGCAAUUCCAAAUGCUGUCAAGGAUGGGAAGAAACUACAUCUCUCAUACCCUGGAGUUGGAUUAUAAAAUGGUAAAUGUAUUCACAAUAGUUUGACAGGUAAAAAAUUAAACACACACUUACCAAAUGACCUGGCACUUGGACUCUGGGGCAUUUAUCCCAGAGAAAUGAAAACAUGUGUCCACACAAAAGAUUAUAUGCAAAUGUUCACGAGAGCUUAAUUUGCAAUAGUCAAAAAAUUGAACACAACCCAAAUGUCCUUCAGUGGAUGAAUGCUGUUCAGUGGGAGAGAACUUUGGGGCGUCCACACCAGGGAAUACUACUGAGCAAUAAAAAGGAAGGCGCCAUUGAUACAUAGGACGAGUGCUAUGGCUCUCAUGAGAACUAUGCUGGGUUAACGGGGGUGGGGACCAAAUCACAAAAGGUAUUCCACUUAUAUAACACCUCCAAGCUGCCAGAAGUAAAGAGGUGGAAAACAUGUAAGUGGCUGCGAGAGGUUAGAGACGAGGGAGUUUAAGAGGGCAGGGGAGGAAGAUGGUGUGGCUGUACGUGGGCAAGUGGGGAAUCCGCCAGUUCUGUAUCCUAACUGUUGUAGUAGUUACGUGAAUCUACACAUGGGAUAAAAUUGCAAAGAACCACACACACACACACACACACACACACACACACAGAAAUGAGUGCAAUCUGAAUAAAGGUCUGUGGAUUAUACCAAUGUCAAUUUCCUGGUUCUGAUUAUAAUAUAAUAUAAUAUAAUAUAAUAUAAUAUAAUAUAAUAUAGAAAUUACUUAUAAAUAAUUGAUAUCAAAUUUAUAUUUAUUAUAUUAUCUAACAUAACACAGGUACCUUGCUGUCCUAUUUUUGGAACUUCCUAUGAAUCUCUAUUUCAAAAUAAAAAGCUUUAAAAAAUCCAACAGAAUGGUAGACAAUCUGAUGGGAACGUGUCAAGCUUACCAAGGCAGAGAGUUGUGAAUAAAACCUGGACGUAUUUUAA